UUAUUUAUUAACAAACUGCCUGUUGUAAUGCUUAUGCCACUUUAGAAAUCAAAUGUCCACAAAAGUAUUAAAGUGUUUCCUGUUACUCUAUUUUCUAAUUAUUGUCCUAAAUUGUUAAUUGUUUACAAAUGAUAAAAUACCUUGCCUCUACAGUACUUACAGGUGCUGCCCUUUAUGGUAUUUAGUAAGUGAAUACUUGGUGAAUAUAAAGAUUGAAAAGAUGGUUGCAAUAAUAAAAUUUUAGCAGGUACUUUUAUGGAGGAAUUUGUCGUUGUACUACAAGAUUAGAUGGAUUAGUCAUUAUAAUAACAGGCCCUACAUCUGGAAUUGGUAAAGCUUUAUCUUUUUUGUUAGUUGAAAGAGGAGCCUCAUUAGUUUUGGCAUGUAGAGAUCUUGAAAAAGGCAACCAAUU
rnacentral:lncRNA from 1 species